UGAACGCUGGCGGCGUUCCUAAUACAUGCACGUCGAGCGAACAGACGAGGAGCUUGCUCCUCUGACGUUAGCGGCGGACGGGUGAGUAACACGUGGAUAACCUACCUAUAAGACUGGGAUAACUUCGGGAAACCGGAGCUAAUACCGGAUAAUAUAUUGAACCGCAUGGUUCAAUAGUGAAAGACGGUUUUGCUGUCACUUAUAGAUGGAUCCGCGCCGCAUUAGCUAGUUGGUAAGGUAACGGCUUACCAAGGCAACGAUGCGUAGCCGACCUGAGAGGGUGAUCGGCCACACUGGAACUGAGACACGGUCCAGACUCCUACGGGAGGCAGCAGUAGGGAAUCUUCCGCAAUGGGCGAAAGCCUGACGGAGCAACGCCGCGUGAGUGAUGAAGGUCUUCGGAUCGUAAAACUCUGUUAUUAGGGAAGAACAAAUGUGUAAGUAACUAUGCACGUCUUGACGGUACCUAAUCAGAAAGCCACGGCUAACUACGUG
rnacentral:rRNA from 1 species